GUGGGGCUCAAUACAGUGCUGUGGGGCUCAAUGGAGUGCUAUGGGGCUCAGUGCUGUGGGGCUCAAUACAGUGCUAUGGGGCUCAAUACAGAGCUAUGGGGCUCCAUGCAGUGCUAUGGGGCUCAGUGCUAUGGGGCUCGAUGGAGUGCUGUGGGGCUCAAUACAGUGGGGCUCAAUGGAGUGCUGUGGGGCUCAGCACAGUGCUAUGGGGCUCAAUGGACUGCUGUGGGACUCCAUGCAGAGCUAUGGGGCUCCGUGCAGUCCUAUGGGGCUCCGUACUGCCCUAUGGCGCCCCCUGCCGCCCUAUUGCGCUCCGUGCCGUGCAGGGCUCCGUGCCGCCCUAUGGGGCUCAGGUCCGUCCUAUGGGUCUCAGCUCUGCCCCACGGCGCUCCAUGCAGCCCUAUGGGACUCCAUGCAGCCCUA
rnacentral:lncRNA from 1 species